UACGUAGGGUGCAAGCGUUGUCCGGAAUUAUUGGGCGUAAAGAGCUCGUAGGCGGUCUGUCGCGUCGGCUGUGAAAUCCCGGAGCUCAACUCCGGGUCUGCAGUCGAUACGGGCAAGCUGGAGUACUGCAGGGGAGACUGGAAUUCCUGGUGUAGCGGUGAAAUGCGCAGAUAUCAGGAGGAACACCGGUGGCGAAGGCGAGUCUCUGGGCAGUAACUGACGCUGAGGAGCGAAAGCGUGGGGAGCGAACAGG
rnacentral:rRNA from 1 species